rnacentral:rRNA from 1 species
AUGCACGCUGGCGGCGUGCCUCACACAUGCAAGUCGAGCGGCAGCGAGGGGUGCUUGCACCCUGUCGGCGAGCGGCGGACGGCUGAGUAACGCGUGGGAACGUGCCCCAAAGUGAGGAAUAACUGCCCGAAAGGGUAGCUAAUACCGCAUAUUAUCUUCGGAUCAAAGGAUUUAUCCGCUUUGGGAGCGGCUCGCGUCGGAUUAGGUAGUUGGUGAGGUAAUGGCUCACCAAGCCGACGAUCCGUAGCUGGUCUGAGAGGAUGACCAGCCAGACUGGAACUGAGACACGGUCCAGACUCCUACGGGAGGCAGCAGUGAGGAAUCUUCCACAAUGGGCGAAAGCCUGAUGGAGCAACGCCGCGUGCAGGACGAAGGCCUUCGGGUUGUAAACUGCUUUUAUAAGUGAGGAAUAUGACGGUAACUUAUGAAUAAGGAUCGGCUAACUACGUG